rnacentral:lncRNA from 1 species
GAACGCCCUGCCCACCGGAGGGCUGGCGCCCCAGAUCCUAGGUUUCCUGGUUGAAUGUUCUGUUGUAGAAGAAUGCAACUGAGUUUUCUAAACAGAUCUUCUUCUUGACAUCCUUGCUGAACGAGAGCAAAGGAGACAGCUGGGAGCAGAUGGGCAAAUCCCAGUUUGCCCAAAGAAAUGUCUAUUUUCCAAGGGGCAUGAAGAAUUUAGGAAUAAAGCAGAUCUGAUUUCUAAUUCUGACUUUGCUACUGGCAAAUUGUGUGGACUCAGGAAAGUGACCGGCCCUCUUUAAGACUCAGUGUGCUUACCUCUGAAAUGGAGCUGUCAAUCACAUCUGCCUCACAGGCUUGUUCUGAGGAUGAAGUGAGAAAAUGCCCACGAGGUGCUGGUUGCAGCAGCUGGUGCAUAGAGCUUAAAAAGGAUGCAGUCCCAAAACAUAGAAGGAUUUACUCCAGAUCCAAGCAAUGAGUCAGGAACAGAAAGCCUGAUGCCCUCACCUGGAACUCUCCCUCCUCCCUGGAUGAGGACCUUCCCCAGAAUUGCAGGGCACCCACACAAGACCAAGCAAGUUCAGAGAAAAUUGAAACCUGACUUUAGAGCCUCUGGGAUGUUCACUACACCUCAUUGAACCUGUUUGGUUCACAGAGCUCCAACUACCGUCUACUUCCUGCAACUGGCCUGCUGCCAACUCCCCAGAUCUCUUGUGGAGCUGCCGGAAGAGACAGCCUGCCACAGAAGAAAGCAGCCCUCCUCUUUCAUGGCCUCCCACAUCUUGAAACAAACACAAGCAAACAAAACAAAAGCUUGAGUCCCAGCCUGAUUCACCAGGUUUGGUUCCCAAUUGUUGAAAUUCCCUUCCCAGGGCUCUCAGAACCAGGGUUGGCUGGAGGGGUGAAAGAGGCUGGCCCUGAGCCCAGUAAUAGGACACCAAGGGGGAGCUAAAAGCUGGGAUCUGGGGUGAAGAUGGGGUCUUCCAAGCUGGGAGGCAGACACCAGGCCAGAGCAACCGGCCUGCCCCAGCUCAGGCCUCUUAACCCAUGCAGGGCAAGAGUAUAAACAGAGGCCACGGACCACAUGCCUCAGUAUUUAAACUUAUAAAUCAAGCUAACAUAACAUGAAAUCAAAUAUGUUCUAUCCUCCUAGCUUGACAAAUACUUUCAUAACGAGAUGGAAUGCCAGGUUCAGAUUUAGAAUUUUCACACUCCUUAAAGUUCCAAGUCAAAAUACAGCAUUAGGGGAGGGCCCCCAACCUCGAGGUCUCCCCUCCCCCAUUUUCUUUCACUCCCAGCUCUGUCUCACACCACGAGGGAUCUUGGGUGAAUGCCCCUCGAUACCCCAGCCCCCCACAAACAGCUGCCCUUUCCCCCCUUGGCCAAGGGUAAGCACAGCAGCAGGGCAGUCUGCCCUUGGCUGGAGAGAUGGAAGGAGAGGCCACACGGGCCCUGAAAAUGCAUUUGGGGACUCUUGGGCAGGAAACUUGGGAGUUUCUGGAGCCUCAAGGAGGGUCUAGUGGGACAGAGCCACUUGGGCCCAUGAGAUCCUUGACCCAUGGAGAAGGGUAGGGCUAGAGGAGGGCCAGGGCAGGCCCUAUGAACAGAAGAACCUAGAGUAACUGCCCUGUCCCCAGAUCCUGUCACCGAGCAGGUAUACUUGGGAGGGUAUUGGAGGGUGGAACCCAAGGGAGCUUGCCCAAGGCACUAGGAAAGAAAAGUGUAAACCUUGUUAGAGAAUGCUAAGGAUAGCUGUUAAAGCCUCAGAGAUUUUACUCAUUUUUGGCUGUUUCUAAAAAUCUUCCCCCAAAGGAAGAUCUUGCUCUCAUUGAGGAUCUGAGAAAGAAUUCUCUCCAAGUAGUUUCAAAACAUUCUGAUGUAAAAACUCUGGUGUGUUAGUCAAAAAUAAAUUUUGUUGCUUGAUGGCUUCACCAUUCACAAAAUAUUCUAUCCAUCCAAUUUAAAAAUAAGAGCAGGGUAUUUAAAACUCUUUCAAUAAACACAAAUUAAAACAAUGAAGCUUG